CGCGCUCUGGUUCCUCCGAGUUGUUUAUUCCAUUUUCCUCUUCCUGAGACGGCCGUCGCCGGUGCGCCUGCGCGUCGAGGCGCAGGGGCUUGUGGGUAGCGGGAGCGCGAGGGCUAUCCUGGCCUGGCGUCGGGCCCCCUGGGCAUCCGCGAGCCGGCGGCGGUUGGACGGGCGGACCGCGGCGGCGCUCCCCGACGCCGAGCCGGCUCGGGAAGUUCUCACGAGGCGAAUGCCUUCCCUUUUUCGUAUAUCCUCUUGUUUAUAAAGCCAGGCGUCAUUUUUUAAUAGAAACGACGAAAUUUACAGAAUGGGAUUGUCAUUUUGAGGGGCCGCACCUGGGGCCGGAGCCCAAGCCCUUGCUCUGCUGGGAGAGUAGCUCUGUCUGUUCGCCACGCUUCCGCACCCUCGCUUUUUCCCCUCCCUCCUCUUUUUCCUUCCCGCUGAGGGUGAUGAGAACUACGGGACUGAUUGCCUAAAAACUCCUGGGCCUUUUAUUCCAAAAAUCGAAUCUGAGAAGGUUGAUUUGGGCAAACCCCCAGCUGAGUGCAGCACCUGUUUUCUCUAUUUAUAUUACUGAAAGCCUUCAGUAAAAUAUUAUGAACAAUGAGAUGCCACCUGGGGACACCGCUGCCUAGGCAGCACCAGAAGGUUUCCCUUAAAAUCGCGCUGGGUUUCUUUUCUCCAAUCGGCCUAGUCUUGACUCGAAAUUCAUUUUUAAAAGAGUUUUUUUCCCUCACCGAUCGCUGAUGUUAUGCUCCGCUGUAUUUAUUUUAAAAAAAAAAAAGUUUUAAGGAAUUUUAAGGAGUUGCUAUGAAGGGAAAAUAACUUUAACGUUUUAGUUUUUCUCCUCUGCGAAAGGUCUUCUCAAAAGGCAAUUGGAAGGGGGGGUGUUCGUUGGCAGAAUUUGAGGAACUGUGGCAAACAGAAGAGGUCACAGAAGAACGGAUAGAAGCAAGUGUACCACACUGCAGAAAGGGGGAAAGUGGAUUCCAUAGACCACAAACGGGGGCUUCCCUGGUGGCGCAGUGGUUAAGAAUCCGCCUGCCAAUGCAGGGGACACGGGUUCGAGCCCUGGUCAGGAAAGAUCCCACAUGCCGUGGAGCAGCUAAGCCCAUGCGCCACAACUAUUGAGCCUGCGCUCUAGAGCCCGCAUGCCACAACUACUGAGCCCACAUGCCACAACUACUGAAGCCCACACGCCGAGAGCCCGUGCUCUGCAACAAGAGAAGCCGCCACAAUGAGAAGCCCGCAAACCACAAUGAAGAGUAGCCCCUGCUUGCCGCACACAGCAACGAAGACCCAACACAGCCAUAAAUAAACAAACUUUAUUGUAAUUUAAUCGUAACCUUUUCCUUCUAUGGAGUGAGUACAUGGUUGUUUGUUAAAUUGUUCUCUGUAUUUUUGGUUUCAUUUUGUUUUCAAUAAAUUAAUUUUGUGAAGACAAGCUGGA